GAUGAACGCUGGCGGCGUGCCUAAUACAUGCAAGUCGAGCGGAGCGGGGACGGGUGAGUAACACGUGGAUAACCUCCUAUAAGACUGGGAUAACUUCGGGAAACCGGAGCUAAACCGGAUACUGAUAGGUUGAUCCUCGCGGCAUUAGCUAGUUGAUAAGGUAACGGCUUACCCAGGCAACGAUGCCUAGCCGACCUGAGAGGUUGAUCGGCCACACUGGAACUGAGACACGGUCCAGACUCCUACGGGAGGAAGCAGGAGGGAAUCUUCCGCAAUGGGCGAAAGCCUGACGGAGCAACGCCGCGUGAGUGAUGAAGGUCUUCGGAUCGUAAAACUCUGUAAUUAGGGAAGCGGUACCUAAUCAGAAAGCCACGGCUAACUACGUGCCAGCCGCCGCGGUAAUAC
rnacentral:rRNA from 1 species